UACGGGGGGGGGCAAGCGUUGUUCGGAAUUACUGGGCGUAAAGCGUGCGCAGGCGGUGAUGUAAGACAGUUGUGAAAUCCCCGGGCUUAACCUGGGAAUGGCAUUUGGGACUGCAAGGCUGGAGUUUGGCAGAGGAGACUGGAAUUCCCGGUGUAGCAGUGAAAUGCGUAGAGAUGUGGAGGAACACCGAUGGCGAAGGCAGCCCCCUGGGUCAAGAUUGACGCUCAUGCACGAAAGCGUGGGGAGCAAACAGG
rnacentral:rRNA from 1 species